rnacentral:rRNA from 1 species
CCUACGGGCGGCAGCAGUGGGGAAUAUUGCACAAUGGGCGCAAGCCUGAUGCAGCCAUGCCGCGUGUGUGAAGAAGGCCUUCGGGUUGUAAAGCACUUUCAGCGGGGAGGAAGGCGGUGAGGUUAAUAACCUCAUCGAUUGACGUUACCCGCAGAAGAAGCACCGGCUAACUCCGUGCCAGCAGCCGCGGUAAUACGGAGGGUGCAAGCGUUAAUCGGAAUUACUGGGCGUAAAGCGCACGCAGGCGGUCUGUCAAGUCGGAUGUGAAAUCCCCGGGCUCAACCUGGGAACUGCAUUCGAAACUGGCAGGCUAGAGUCUUGUAGAGGGGGGUAGAAUUCCAGGUGUAGCGGUGAAAUGCGUAGAGAUCUGGAGGAAUACCGGUGGCGAAGGCGGCCCCCUGGACAAAGACUGACGCUCAGGUGCGAAAGCGUGGGGAGCAAACAGGAUUGAUACCCGUGUAGUC